GGAAAGAAAGGAAACACGUGAGAGAGAGAGAGAGGAAGAAGAAAGGAGAAAGAGAGGGAGUUAGGCUCGGAUUUAGGAGUCUUUGCGACCGUUGCGAGCUCGGCUACACGAUAGGUCCAGGUGAAGGAUCCAGUGGUGGACGGGGAAAGGAGCAAAGCUAGGGGUUUGCUUGUGAUUUGUAAAGAACUGCAACCCCUUUCUUUUGAGCAAAUAUAUUGUAAUGUAUUUAAGAUUAGGGUGCCAGUAGGAUAUGAUUAUGUAUGUGUGUGUGAAUAUGUGUGGAUUGUGUGCUUGUGUAUGAAUUUUUGUCUGUUUGCAGACUUGUGGCUAGGAAACUUGGUUA